UGCCAGCAGCCGCGGUAAUACGGAGGGGGCUAGCGUUGUUCGGAAUCACUGGGCGUAAAGCGCACGUAGGCGGACUUUUAAGUCAGGGGUGAAAUCCCGGGGCUCAACUCCGGAACUGCCUUUGAUACUGGAAGUCUUGAGUCCGAGAGAGGUGAGUGGAACUCCGAGUGUAGAGGUGAAAUUCGUAGAUAUUGGGAAGAACACCAGUGGCGAAGGCGGCUACCUGGUCCGGAUCUGACGCUGAGGCGCGAAAGCGUGGGGAGCAAACAGGAUUAGAUA
rnacentral:rRNA from 1 species